CCUACGGGUGGCAGCAGUCGGGAAUAUUGGGCAAUGGAGGAAACUCUGACCCAGCAAUACCGCGUGAAGGAUGAAGGUUUUCGGAUUGUAAACUUCUGUUAUAAAGGAAGAAAAAAAUGACGGUACUUUAUAAGUAAGCCCCGGCAAACUAUGUGCCAGCAGCCGCGGUGAUACGUAGGGGGCAAGCGUUAUCCGGAUUUACUGGGUGUAAAGGGAGCGUAGACGGUGCAGCAAGUCUGAUGUGAAAGGUCGGGGCCCAACCCCGGGACUGCAUUGGAAACUGUUGAACUGGAGUACAGGAGAGGUAAGCGGAAUUGCUAGUGUAGCGGUGAAAGGCGUAGAUAUUAGGAGGAACACCAGUGGCGAAGGCGGCUUACUGGACUGUAACUGACGUUGAGGCGCGAAAGCGUGGGGAGCAAACAGGAUUAGAUACCCGGGUAGUC
rnacentral:rRNA from 1 species